AACGAACGCUGGCGGCAUGCCUAACACAUGCAAGUCGAACGAGACCUUCGGGUCUAGUUGCGCACGGGUGCGUAACGCGUGGGAAGCUGCCCUUAGGUUCGGGAUACCUCCCUUACGGGGUGCUAAUCGCAGAUAAUGUCUUCCGACCAAAGAUUUCUCGCCUUUGGAUGGGGCCGCGUUGGAUUAGCUCGUUGGUAGGGUAAAAGCCUACCAAGGCGUCGGUCCAUAGCUGGUCUGAGAGGAUGAUCAGCCACACUGGGGCUGAGACACUGCCCAGACUCCUACGGGAUGCAGCAGUGGGGAAUAUUGGGCAACGGGGGAAAGCCUGAUCCAGCAAGGCUGCGUGAGUGAUGAAGGCGGUAGGGUUGUAAAGCUGUUUUACCCGGGAUGAUAAUGACAGUACCGGGAGAAUAAGCACCGGCUAACUCCGUG
rnacentral:rRNA from 1 species